GUCUACAGCCAUGCCACCCUGAACAAGCCCAAUCCUGUCUGAUCUCGGAAGCUAAGCAGGGUCGGGCCUGGUUAAUAUUGGAUGGGAGACCACCUAGGAAGACCAGGUGCUGUAGGCG
rnacentral:rRNA from 1 species